ACAAUUCUUCCCUCAGUUUGUCACUCGGAUCCUCAGAGGUCAACAGGAACGGCAAACCUGACACUGUGUACUCCCUGGCUGAAUCAAAAAACUCUGGGACAAAGAGGAGUCCUCCAGAUCCAGAAGAGGGCGCUCUUUGGUCACAUGUGAAAAUACAAGUUAUAGAUGAAUCCAUAGACAAUGGGUACUCUCUGCUUGAAGCAAAAAACUUUGGAACAAAGAGUAAGACGCAAAUAUAUUCAAAAUACAGAACAGUCAGAACUGUUCUUAAAUCUGCAGCAUU